GUCGAACGGUAGCAGGAAGUGCUUGCACUUUGCUGACGAGUGGCGGACGGGGGAGUAAUACUUAGGAACAUGCCUUUGUGUGGGGGAUAACCAUUGGAAACGAUGGCUAAUACCGCAUAAUGUCUUUGGACCAAAGAGGGCUUUCGGGCUCUCGCGCAAAGAGUGGCCUAAGUGAGAUUAGCUUGUUGGUGAGGUAAAGGCUCACCAAGGCGACGAUCUCUAGCUGUUCUGAGAGGAAGAUCAGCCACACUGGGACUGAGACACGGCCCAGACUCCUACGGGAGGCAGCAGUGGGGAAUAUUGCACAAUGGGGGCAACCCUGAUGCAGCCAUGCCGCGUGUGUGAAGAAGGCCUUCGGGUUGUAAAGCACUUUCAGUUGUGAGGAAAGGUUGGUGGUUAAUACCCAUCAGCUGUGACGUUAGCAACAGAAGAAGCACCGGCUAACUCCGUGCCAGCAGCCGCGGUAAUACGGAGGGUCCGAGCGUUAAUCGGAAUUACUGGGCGUAAAGCGCACGCAGGCGGUUUGUUAAGCUAGAUGUGAAAGCCCCGGGCUCAACCUGGGAAUAGCAUUUAGAACUGGCAGACUAGAGUCUUGGAGAGGGGAGUGGAAUUUCUGGUGUAGCGGUG
rnacentral:rRNA from 1 species